GUGCCAGCCGCCGCGGUAAUACCAGCCCCGCGAGUGGUCGGGACUCUUGCUGGGCCUAAAGCGCCCGUAGCCGGCCCGGUAAGUCCCUCCUUAAAGCCCCGGGCUCAACCCGGGGAGCGGGGGGAUACUGCCGGGCUAGGGGGCGGGAGAGGCCGGGGGUACCCCAGGGGUAGGGGCGAAAUCCGAUAAUCCCUGGGGGACCACCAGUGGCGAAGGCGCCCGGCUGGAACGCGCCCGACGGUGAGGGGCGAAAGCCGGGGGAGCGAACCGGAUUAGAUACCCGGGUAGUCCCGGCUGUAAACGAUGCCGGCUAGGUGUCGCGUGGGCUUAGAGCCCACGCGGUGCCGCAGGGAAGCCGUUAAGCCGGCCGCCUGGGGAGUACGGCCGCAAGGCUGAAACUUAAAGGAAUAGGCGGGGGAGCACCACAAGGGGUGGAACCUGCGGCUCAAUUGGAGUCAACACCUGGAAGCUUACCGGGGGAGACCGCAGGAUGACGGCCAGGCUAACGACCUUGCCGGACGAGCUGGGAGGAGGUGCAUGGCCGUCGUCAGCUCGUGCCGUGAGGUGUCCGGUUAAGUCCGGCAACGAGCGAGACCCCCACCCCUAGUUGCUACCCGAUCCUUCGGGAUCGGGGGCACACUAGGGGGACUGCCGGCGUAAGCCGGAGGAAGGAGGGGGCCACGGCAGGUCAGUAUGCCCCGAAACCCCGGGGCUGCACGCGAGCUGCAAUGGCGGGGACAGCGGGAUCCGACCCCGAAAGGGGGAGGCAAUCCCUGAAACCCCGCCGUAGUUGGGAUCGGGGGCUGAAACUCGCCCCCGUGAACCUGGAAUCCCUAGUAACCGCGCGUCACCAUCGCGCGGUGAAUACGUCCCUGCCCCUUGCACACACCGCCCGUC
rnacentral:rRNA from 1 species